rnacentral:rRNA from 3 species
GAAGCGGCAACAGCUCAAAUUUGAAAUCUGGCGCAAGCCCGAGUUGUAAUUUGUAGAGGAUGCUUCAGGGCAGCGGCCGGUCUAAGUUCCUUGGAACAGGACGUCGUAGAGGGUGAGAAUCCCGUAUGCGACCGGUUGGCACCCGUCACGUAGCUCCUUCGACGAGUCGAGUUGUUUGGGAAUGCAGCUCUAAAUGGGAGGUAAAUUUCUUCUAAAGCUAAAUACCGGCCAGAGACCGAUAGCGCACAAGUAGAGUGAUCGAAAGAUGAAAAGCACUUUGGAAAGAGAGUUAAAAAGCACGUGAAAUUGUUGAAAGGGAAGCGCAUGCAACCAGACUUGUCGGCGGUGUUCCGCCGGUCUUCUGACCGGUCUAUUCGCCGCCGGCAGGCCAGCAUCAUCUGGGUGCGCCGGAUAAAGGCGCGGGGAAUGUGGCUCCUCGGAGUGUUAUAGCCCCGCGCACAAUACGGCGCCGCCCGGGUGAGGUCCGCGCUUCGGCUAGGAUGCUGGCGUAAUGGUUGUCUGCGGCCCGUCUUGAAACACGGACCAAGGAGUCUAACAUCUAUGCGAGUGUUCGGGUGUCAAACCCCUACGCGUAAUGAAAGUGAACGGAGGUGGGAAGCGCAAGCUGCACCAUCGACCGAUCCUGAUGUCUUCGGAUGGAUUUGAGUAAGAGCAUAGCUGUUGGGACCCGAAAGAUGGUGAACUAUGCCUGAAUAGGGUGAAGCCAGAGGAAACUCUGGUGGA